UACGUAGGCAGCGAGCGUUGUUCGGAGUUACUGGGCGUAAAGGGUGUGUAGGCGGUUGUUUUAAGUUUGGUGUGAAAUCUCCCGGCUCAACUGGGAGGGUGCGCCGAAUACUGAAUGACUCGAGUGUGGGGAGAGGUGAGUGGAAUUCCUGGUGUAGCGGUGAAAAUGCGUAGAUAUCUGGAGGAACACCGGUGGCGAAGGCGGCAUCCUGGACCGACACUGACGCUGAGGAGCGAAAGCCAGGGGGAGCAAACGGG
rnacentral:rRNA from 1 species